GAUGAAGAACGCAGCGAAAUGCGAUAAGUAAUGUGAAUUGCAGAAUUCAGUGAAUCAUCGAAUCUUUGAACGCACAUUGCGCCCGCCAGUAUUCUGGCGGGCAUGCCUGUUCGCGCGUCAUUACAACCCUCAGGCCCCCGGGCCUGGCGUUGGGGAUCGGCGGAAGCCCCCUGCGGGCACAACGCCGUCCCCCAAAUACAGUGGCGGUCCCGCCGCAGCUUCCAUUGCGUAGUAGCUAACACCUCGCAACUGGAGAGCGGCGCGGCCACGCCGUAAAACACCCAACUUCUGAAUGUUGACCUCGAAUCAGGUAGGAAUACCCGCUGAACUUAAGCAUAUCAAUAAGCGGAGGA
rnacentral:misc_RNA from 1 species